GUUGUGGAUGAAUGGACGAAGCUUCUAGUUCAGGCAGCAUCGCUGAUAGCUGUGGUUCAGGCCUGGAUCCUAUUGGUCCAUAAGAGAGUUGUUUGUCUGAAUGAGAAACCUCGCAUCGGAUAUGGUCCGAUGUUCAUCCGGGAUCAAGAGAGGAUAGCGAAUCUGAACUACAUCUACAACUGCAAUGACAUAGAGGCUCUAUGGAUGCUUAAAAGAGCACCUUUCUCCAGGCUUGUAUAGACGUUCAGGAGCAGGGGGAUGCUACAAGAUAGCAUCCACACCCGUAUGGAAGAGCGAGUGUCCAUGUUCCUCCAUGUUGUUGGUCAUAAUCAGAGGUUCAGGGUUGUACACAACACCUUCAGGGGAUCAAUGGAGACAAUCUCCAAGUACUUCAAGCAAGUGUUGUAUGUUGUUGGGGAGCUAAGAGGAGAGAUGAUCAGGUCACCAACUGAUCGGACUCCUACCAAGAUUCGGACUAGCACAAGAUGGUACCCAUACUUCAAGGUGAGAACUUACAGUAUGUAG
rnacentral:rRNA from 1 species